rnacentral:rRNA from 1 species
GUGAGGAAUAUUACGCAAUGGGCGAAAGCCCGACGUAGCGACGCCGCGUGGACGAUGAAGGUCUUCGGAUCGUAAAGUCCUGUUGUAGGGGAAGAAAUGUUGUGGGGCUAAUAUCUCCGCAAUUUGACUGUACCCUGCGAGAAAGCCCCGGCCAACUCCGUGCCAGCAGCCGCGGUAAUACGGGGGGGGCGAGCGUUAUUCGGAAUCACUGGGCAUAAAGGGCGUUUAGGUGGUAUGGUUAGUUGUAGGUGAAAGCCCCGGGCUCAACCCGGGAAGUGCUUGCAAUACUGCAGUACUUGAGGUCGGGAGAGGAGAGCGGAAUUCCUAGUGUAGCGGUGAAAUGCGUAGAUAUUAGGAGGAACACCAGUGGCGAAGGCGGCUCUCUGGACCGAUUCUGACACUGAAGCGCGAAAGCUAGGGGAGCAAACGGGAUUAGAAACCCGAGUAGUCC